CAAAUUCUUCUUUCUGCCGAUCAAUCUCAGCCUUGACACUGUCACCUAGAGACAACAUAAUGGGGAGCGCAGCUGUCUUCUGAUCACUUGCAUAUUUGACAGAAGGGUUGCAUUCUUCUUCCUCACAGGAAACGUUCAGUCCAAUUGAAACAAGAUUAGGAUCCAAAAACUUUCCAAGUUGACCAUCUUCAUAUUGAUGAAAAUUAUUAUUUGAAGAUAUUUGAUGCUUUUGUUGUCUUGAAAAGGAUUCUUCCUCCCUCCUUCCUUUAGGAGGCCUCUCAAUGAUAGAUGUGUGCUCAUUUCCCAUGUCAUUUAUGGGACCUCCAAUGCAUCCAACAGGGUCUGUGGCAUAUUGCAAUAUGACAAUGAAAUUAGGUCAACCAUGAGACAUUCAAAACAAGAGAAAAUGAAAAUUGGAAUAAGCAAAGUGAACAAGAACAAGAAGUGCAAAUGCAACAAGUUAAAACUAUAGGUAGCUGCUAGAAUAAAAUUGACAUGGGAGGGGGGGAACCACCAAAGAACUCCAUCUAAAAGUUUUGCCUUUCCCUCUUUCUAUGCCAAUAUAUUGAAAUAGUUGCUGUCUAAAGCAAGCAACAUGGACUUAAAAUCAUAUUCAACCCCUAACUCCAUAUUAGAUGCAUACAUCAAAUGAGAGCCUCCAUGCACUAAGCAUAAAACAACCUUCAGCAUAUCAGAACACACACAGACACACACAAGAAAAAGUGCAAAAAAGCCAUGGAUGAAUGGCGGGAGCACAAAUACCAUUCUAGAUCGCCCAAGCAAUAGUGUUAGACAUUUUCGAGCUACAGUCUAUUAAACCCCAAAACUCAGAUUGGUUUUUAGAAAGCUCACUACCUCUGAACAACUGCAGCUGAGGCAAAGGAUUAACUUCACCCGGGAAACAGUUUUCUCCAAGGGAAAUCGGCAGCUGAGAAUUGCCAUUAUUACCUCCAAACAUGUCCCUGAAAUCGGUGUGAUCUUGGGAAAUAACGAUAUGGGAAGCGAAGAAGAAAGGGAAAAAGAAAGAAUUGUGAUGGUUUAAAUAGCAGUAUUGGGAAGGAUGAUGGGAGCGGUGGUGGCGGUGGGGUGCGAAAAAGGAAGCGUAGUUGAGAGGUAGAAGUGAAGAAGAAAAUCGAGGAUUCCAUUGGUAAAGGACUUGUUAAUGUUGUUGAUGAUGUUGUUGGCAUUGUUGGUGGUGGUAUUGGUAUUGGUGUUGUGAUCUUCAUCACUCCCAUCCAACGUCGUCAGCCUGGCCUGCUUUUCGUUUUCUUACCCGUAACUUGUUCAAGG
rnacentral:misc_RNA from 1 species